rnacentral:tRNA from 2 species
CGCUUUAGCUCAGUCGGUAGAGCGUUUCACUCGUAAUGAAAAGGUCGCGAGUUCGAUUCUCGCAAGCG